GGAGGAGGAGGAGGAGGGUCCAAGACAGACCUUGGUUCACAGCACACUUCAGUGGACAACAUCACCUUCAGAGGAAGAUCUCUACCUGAAAGGAUUCCUGAUGCCCUCAUGUGUGCUGGGCAGGUGAUACCAGAGGAGAGGCUCGCUGCAUGCACCUGGCACAAUGCUGGAAGAAAAUAUGGUUGAACAUGUUCAACAUAGGAAGACCUACAGUUCUGGGAGCCUAUUUUACGUGACAAUCGGCUGUUUUGAAGACUACAACAUUAUAUGUAAAAUCCUUUGUCACAGCUUCUGAAGUAACGUUGCUAUGAAUAAUUAAGCUUAGGACAUAGCCUCUCCCUACAAAAGGAAGAGAAGAUAAGGCUGAUUGCUCAGCUGGGAAACGGCAUGCAUGCAAGCUCGAGGACAUGAGUUCGGAUCCCCAGAAUUCAAAUAAAAAUCCGAGAAUGGUGUCUUGGGGAAUGCAGAGACAGGAGGAUCCCUAAAGUUCCCUAGCCAGAUGUCCUAAAUUUUCACACACAUAUAUAAUACCUCACACACUCAUAACACCACACGCAUACACAUAAAAAUAUAUGGCUACACAAGU
rnacentral:lncRNA from 1 species